rnacentral:lncRNA from 1 species
CUUAGUUAAAAUAGAUAGUUAGGAUGUGACAUAAGCAGAUUGUUGUAUUUUCUUAUAUUUACCUUUAUGAUUGUUAAUUUUGGAUACUUUUCACUGUUAAGUUUUAAUCCUCUUUUAGACUAAAAGGGGAAUUGUAGGAGAAGCUGUAACAUCACCUAUUUAGGGGCUGGCUACAGGUGUGCCUGACCACUCUUGCGAGGGCAUGGUCAGGGUAAUAUAGAGUGAGACUUCCAGGGGACUGUGUUUUCUCUUUCAGUUUCACUUCUGUACUUGCCUUACAUACUGCUGCCAUGCCGGCUGGCUAGGUUGCUCUAGACUGGUUCCAGCCCAAGAUGGAUAUGGUUUUCCAUGCCUUCAAGGAAUCCUAAGAGAGAACACGCCUGACAGAAUGUGUGAUUCCAUGACGGGUACCCCUGAGACUGGUUCCAGCCAAAGAUGGAUAUGGUUUUCCAUGCCUUCAAGGAAUCCUAAGACAGAACACGCAUGACAGAAUGUGUGAUUCCAUGACGGGUACCCCUG